rnacentral:rRNA from 1 species
UACGAAGGGGGCUAGCGUUGCUCGGAAUCACUGGGCGUAAAGGGUGCGUAGGCGGUCAGGUAAGUGGGACGUGAAAUGCCUCGGCUCACCCGAGGAGCGGCGUCCCAUACUGCUUGGCUUGAGUACGGGAGAGGAUGUGGGAAUUCCUGGUGUAGCGGUGAAAUGCGUAGAUAUCAGGAGGAACACCGGUGGCGAAGGCGCACAUCUGGCCCGAUACUGACGCUGAGGCGCGAAAGCUAGGGGAGCAAACGGG